rnacentral:lncRNA from 1 species
CUCGGGGGUCUAGCUUGUCUCUAUGUUGGAUGUGGACAUGAACAAAUGCAGUACACCCAAAUACCCUAGGAGUGAGCCCAUUUGAGGUUCUAAAGUGUGGAUAGAAACUCUUAAGUAUCUCUACGAGGCAUUUGUUGUCUAAUACUCGUGAGAGAAUUCUAUUUAUCAUGUAUGUGGCAGUAAGAACAGCUUCCCCCCAAUAGGACUUAGGAACAUUCCCUUGAAAGAGUAAGGCUCGGGUUGUGUUGAGUAAAUGCCCAUUUUUCCUCUCGCUACCCCAUAUUGUUGGGAUGUGUUAACACAUGAUGAGUCAUGGAGAAUGCCCUGUGAUUGAAAAUAGGGUGACGAAAUUUGGUUGAAGUAAUCUCUAGCAUUGUCAGUCCUAAAGUUUUUUAUUUUAACCUCAAAUUGGUUUUGAACCAUUGAGUGGAAAUUUUGUUACCCAAUCUAAAAGUAAAAAACACAACAGGUUACUAGAAAUUUUGUUACCCAACACACAGUCUAUAUAUAUAUUUUUUAAUAUUUAAUAGAAAUAAAAUAUUUUUUAAAAAUAACUUAAUACUUCAUUUAAACAUUAUUUAGUUUUAAGUUGUAUCCUGAAUUAAGUAAAAAAAACAAACAUUACUUUGUCACUUGCUUUUCACUUUUAUUUAUUAAGAUUGUUUGGAAAUCAUGAAAUGGACAUAUUUGUCCUCAAUAAUUUUAACUAAUGCUAAUAUUUUUACUAAUCAUAAGUAAUAAAAUUAUUUGUUAAAUAUUUAUAUUGUCGUAAAAAUAUGAGAUGACUAAACAAAUAUUUAUUAUAAAAAAAUGAGUUGUGAAUAUAAAGUUAUAGUUAUAAAAUAUAUUUUCCUUAAAUAAGAACAAAUGAGUUUUGAGAUUAAGAAUAAGCUAACUAUUUAUAUUUAAUACUCAAAAUUAAUUUUUUAAGUUGUUUUAUUAAAUUAUUUUAUCAAAUAUAUUUAAUAUAUUUAAUGACUUAAAUUAAGUUAUUAAACUAUAUCAAAUUUUUAAGUGGAUUUACCAACUUGCAAUACAUCAUUCAAUUUACUUAAUAUUAUUUAAAUUAAAUUUAUAAUUUCUUACCAAAUUAAAAUAAAAUUUAUUUUUAAAAUAACUAAAAUUUAUUUAUUUAAACUAUUUUUUGUGGAGUUUAAAAAUUGUUUUUAAAAAUAUUUGCUUGAUAACGAGUAAGAAAUUAUUUUUGUGUUUUAAACUUAAAACAAUUUCUAAAAAUAAGUUUGAGGUAACGUGGCUUAGGCAGGAUUCCCAAGAAACCUCCACAAAAUCAACACAACAAAUUUUCCCAUAAAUCAACGGUGUUGAUUAACUGACUCCGCCUCUAUAAAGGACUCUUCUGCCUAAUCAUUGACCUUCUGCUUUUGUAACACCAUCCACAAAUCUCUCUCUUUCUUUCUCGAGGAUCGCAGCGAUGACUCAUAUCCUUGGAAUUUCUUUGAUUUUAUUGUUUUUCGAAUCCGUUUUUUGUGUUUCCAAUUCGCAAUAUCUUUUUUUAAUUUUUUCAGUUCUAAUUUUUUUUUGGAAUUAGAUCACUCUGUUUGUGUGUUAUUCCCUAAUUGGAUAUCACGCGGUAACCAGAGAGAUCGGGAUCGGGAAAGGGCAGCGUCACGGAACCCCUCCAAGGGCAGCAAGGGCAAAGACGAUGGUUUGACUCCCGAGCAACGCCGAGAAAGGUCAUUUUCCUAUGAAACUUCUACUUUUAUUUUUUCUUUUUUUUAGUGCAUUCUUGUGUGUUGAGCUUGAUUGUUUGGAUAGGGAUGCUAAGGCGCUUCAAGAGAAGGCAGCCAAGAAGGCGGGACAGGCGGCCUCGGGAGGAAGUGGCGACGCCGGAGGUAAAAGCACGAAGAAGUAGUAUAAGCUUGUUAAAUCGAGAUUUUAGGUGCUUUAUUGUCAAUGGUUGAAUUUCAGAAAGGGUUGGAUUUGAUGCCGUAGUCUGAUCUUGAACAAAUAUGUGUUCUCUUUGAGAUCUGCUUGUUAAUUGACUUUUUGAUCUUGAAAUAUUGGCUAAUGGCGUGUCAUUACUUGUACUAUUUGUUAUAUUAGUAUUUCGAUCGGUGUGAUUUCAGAAGAUUAUAAUUCUCUGGUGUUUCUUUUGUUAUGAUUGGGAUAUUGCCAUUUUAUUUUGGGAAAAAGAACAUGAUGGAGUUUAUUAGGC